UUGUCUCUCUGUCUCUGUCUCCUGUCUGUCUGUGUCUGUCUGUCUGUCUCUCUCUUUCUUUGUCUCUCUGUCUCUGUCAAUCUUUCUCUUUGUCUCUGUCUCUCUGUCUCUGUCUGUGUCUGUCUCUAUCUGUCUCUGUUUCUCUCUGUCUCUGUCUCUCUCUUUCUCUCUCUCUGUCUCUCUCUCUGUUUCUGUCUCUGUCUCUGUCUCUGUCUCUGUCUCUCUCUCUCUCUCUCCGUGUGUGUGUGUGUGUGUGUGUGUGUGUUCAUUUAUUUACAUGUAAGUGGAAUCUAGAGGUCAAUGUUCAACAUCUUCCUCAAUUUCUCUCAACUUUAUUUUUGAGACAAGGUCCCUCACUGAUGUGGCUAGACUGGCUAACAAGACAGCUCCAGGUGGUCCUCCUUCCUCUGUCUUCCCAGAGCUGGGACACAGGUAUGUUCCAUUGCACUUACCCUUUACUUUUCUGUUACCCAUGGGUUCUAGAGAACUGACCUUCGUUCUCAUGCUGUGUGGCACACACUUUACAGAGGGGCUAUUUCUCCAGACCCUGUAUCGCUUAUACAUAGCACUCCAGAGAUAGCACUCAUUCAGUGAAUGGGAACUGCACGUAUGGUUGUUUGGAUCUGAGUUAGAGUGGAUCACUCAGGGCUGCUGUUUGCUGAAGGCUAGAGAGAACAAAAUCUUCCUGUGCCCUUAUGAACUUGUUUAAGUACACAGACACCAUGAAUUCGAGGGCCAAGAAAUUUAACUGAUUUGAACAAACGCUCCUCUGGUAGUUUUAGGUCCUCUGUUAAGAAUGUUGCUGUUGCUGGAGAGAGGACUCGGGGGUGAAGAGAACAUAAUACUGCACCCACAUGAUGAUUCACAACUCCCUGGAUCUCCAGUUCCAGGUUGUCCAAUGCCCUCUUAUGGCCUCUUUAGGUAGCUGCACUAAUGGGCACAUACCAACAUGUACAUGCACACAUAUAGUUUAAAUUACAUAUAAACUUUUUUUAAACAAAGGAGAAUGUCUCCAAAGAUUUGACUAUCAACUGCUAUCUGCAUCAGAAGCUGUGUCGGCCCCUUGCUAAGCCAUGCUUUCCCCAACUGUUUGGUGAAGAACUCUUGUUUUGUUAAUCCUAUUACAUAAACUCAGAAACUGAGGCUUCCUGCAUCAGUGCAAACAGUCUCACCACCGAGAGUCCUAUCAUCCCAUAGCCUCAAAAUCCGUCAAAGGAGGGCAUAUCUUCUCUCCAUCAGCAGAUGCAUCCUGCUUCCCUCUAGCUUCCAGGCCCCACCUCAGCUGCUAUUUCCCAGAAGCCCUUGCAAGACUGAGGAAGCAACCUCUGGGGAUAUGGCUGACACUGGAAGUUAAUGACUAUCAGUUGAAACAAAACACUUGUUUACAUGUUGCCAUCAUUAGAGGCUCCAGCCUUACCUCUGCUGGGCCUCCUGCCAGAUGUUUGGAGGGGCUUUUCACAAGCUGUGCAGUUUACUAAAUACAAAACACACUUAUUAAGGCCUUUUAGUAUUAGGCGGUGCAGCCCUGAUAACCGGUAAUUGAAUUUCUUCAUCUGGGAGAUAAAGGACCAAGACAACUCUCAGAAUCUGCUCAGCUGGGAACACAGAUGGUUGCUGGAGACUCGGAGCUCCUCUUCUUAAACUCCUGCAGAGGAGGGCAGUGUGGUUCAGUGGUCCUUCAUGGCAUGUGGCUCCUGGCAGGCGAACAGUUCUUCCUGAGGCAAUCGGGGGAGACUUCAUGGGAAAAGUGGCUGGAGCCCUUGAUGUUGAAGGGUUAUGACUAGAAGCUGUUGGAGCUGUUGGAAGGGCUGAGAUUGCCAGGGUGCAGAAGAGAGUCAGUCACCAUUUCCACUUCAAAAUCCUGGUUGUUAGAGGAAGCUCACAAAGCUCCGCGUGCUCCGGGUUUCUGGGGAGACAUCAUCUUUGUGUGAAGUCAUUUGUGAAGAAGUUAGAAGGUCUCCCUCUGAAAGAUUCACACUGCUUCUCUGAUGUGGUACCCACUUCUGCUGCAGGAGGACCUGCAGAGUACUUUUGCUGUAUCAGCUCAGAGGCUGUCAAUAACCCAGGCUCAUCCUGAAACCUGACCUCAGUUGCUGUGCUGCCCUGAACACGAGGGCCUAUGGGUACUGCUGUCUGUAUGCAAUGAACCUCUGUUUCCUGGUCAUACUGUCUAGUAUCAACAGUAGAUCUGACCUUGGAUCUUGGAAAGAGUACAUUCUCUUAAUGUUCUAGAUUUCUUUAAAUGAUAUAUAUCAUAUAUAACAUAUAUUAUAUAAUACAUAACUAUAAUAAAUAAUAAUCAUACAUAAAA